GAUGAACGCUGGCGGCAUGCCUUACACAUGCAAGUCGAACGGGCUUUGGGGCUUGCUCCAAAGUUAGUGGCGAACGGGUGAGUAAUGCCUAGGAAUCUGCCUGGUAGUGGGGGACGAACGUUUCGUAAAGGAACGCUAAUACCGCAUACGUCCUACGGGAGGAAAGUAGGGGGAGUCUUCGGACCUCACGCUAUCAGAUGAGCCUAGGUCGGAUUAGCUAGUUGGUGAGGUAAAGGCUCACCAAGGCGACGAUCCGUAGCUGGUCUGAGAGGAUGAUCAGCCACACUGGGACUGAGACACGGCCCAGACUCCUACGGGAGGCAGCAGUGGGGAAUAUUGGACAAUGGGCGAAAGCCUGAUCCAGCCAUGCCGCGUGAGUGAUGAAGGCCCUAGGGUUGUAAAGCUCUUUCAGUGGGGAAGAUAAUGACGGUACCCACAGAAGAAGCCCCGGCUAACUAUGUG
rnacentral:rRNA from 1 species